rnacentral:RNase_P_RNA from 1 species
GAGAGUUAGCGAGAAGGUUGCAGGCAGGCUUUUUAAGUCAGCUUGAGGAAAGUCCGGACUCCCGAAAGACCGAGCUUGCUGGGUAACGCCCAGUGCGCGCGAGCGCGAGGAGAGUGCCACAGAAACAUACCGCCUUUUUGACCGUUCCCACGAUUCAUGCAACAGUUCCCAGCCGCUUAAGCUGAUAACCGAUCGCUGAUGACUGAUAACGACUAAAAGGUAAGGGUGCAAAGGUGCGGUAAGAGCGCACCAGCAGUAUCGAGAGGUGCUGGCUCGGUAAACCCCGGCUGGGAGCAAGGUCGGAGGGACAAGGGUUGGUCUUUUUCCCGUCCCGUUUUAGGCGUACCGCAACAGGUGUCUGGUGACAGACAUCGCAGAUAGAUAACCUUCCUCCUCUUCUCGUUAAGAGGGGAACAGAAUCCGGCUUACGUCUAACUCUCUUCU